UUCCUCGGUAGCUCAGCGGUAGAGCAGUCGGCUGUUAACCGAUUGGUCAUAGGUUCGAAUCCUACCCGGGGAGA
rnacentral:tRNA from 2 species